GCGGGUGUAGUUUAAUGGUAGAACAUCAGCUUCCCAAGCUGAGAGCGCGAGUUCGAUUCUCGUCACCCGCUCCA
rnacentral:tRNA from 473 species